rnacentral:tRNA from 1 species
GGCAAGGUGGCUCAAUUGGUUAGAGCGCGAAUUUUCUGACCGAAAUGUCCGUGGUUCGAACCCGACCUCUGCCU